GAAGAGGAAUAUUGUGUCAUGGAAUGUAGAGGGCACUGGAUUUAUAGUAUGGUCUCCUGCUGAUUUCUCAGAGCUCCUGCUGCCUAAAUAUUUCAAGCACAACAACUUCUCCAGCUUCAUUCGCCAACUUAAUACCUAUGGAUUCAAGAAAACAUCACCAAAACUGUGGGAAUUUAAGCAUGAAAAGUUCCAAAAGGGCUGCAGGCACAUGCUAGUUGAGAUCACCAGGAAGAAAUGCGAACCAAGUGCUUUUCCAGCGUAUCUGAAGGCUUCAGAAGAGAGUGGGAGCACAAGCACUGCACUGGCAGCAGCAGAAGAAAACAAUUGCCUGCUAUUAAUGGAGGAGAAUAAGAACCUGAGAAAACAGCAGUUGGAGCUGCAGGUGCAAAUAGCUCAGUUCAGAACACUGGAAAAUAAGCUGUUGGAUUGCGUAGCUCAGUACAUGGAUGACCAUCGGAACAAAGCUCGAUGCUGAUUGUUACCAUAACUGUUGAUUUGGUCGACACAAAUUGGUCAGGUUUUAUGGGAUAUGUAUUUUGGAUCUUGGGUAUCAUAUAAACAUGCUGCCUUUUUUCUGCAGUGUUUGCUAGCUUUUGGUAUCGGGGUUUUGUAAUUAUGAAAAUAAUCAUCAAGCUAAACCGAAUUCACGAGAAACUUUUUGGUGUGAUGGUCACAAUGCUAUGUCAAGUUACUAAUUUUGUCAUA